rnacentral:rRNA from 1 species
CCUACGGGAGGCAGUAGUGAGGAAUAUUGGUCAAUGGACGAGAGUCUGAACCAGCCAAGUAGCGUGAAGGAUGACUGCCCUAUGGGUUGUAAACUUCUUUUAUAUGGGAAUAAAACGUUCCACGUGUGGGAUUUUGUAUGUACCAUAUGAAUAAGGAUCGGCUAACUCCGUGCCAGCAGCCGCGGUAAUACGGAGGAUCCGAGCGUUAUCCGGAUUUAUUGGGUUUAAAGGGAGCGUAGGUGGAUUGUUAAGUCAGUUGUGAAAGUUUGCGGCUCAACCGUAAAAUUGCAGUUGAAACUGGCAGUCUUGAGGACAGUAGAGUGGGGCGGAAUUCGUGGUGGAGCGGUGAAAUGCUUAGAUAUCACGAAGAACUCCGAUUGCGAAGGCAGUUCACUGGACUGCAACUGACACUGGGGCUCGAAAGUGUGGGUAUCAAACAGGAUUAGAGACCCUUGUAGUC